rnacentral:tRNA from 1 species
GACAGUGUUGCCGAAUGGUUAGGCGCAAGAUUGCAAAUCUUGUCUAUGUCAGUUCGAAUCUGAUCGCUGUCU